UGCGUAGGUGGUUUCUUAAGUCAGAGGUGAAAGGCUACGGCUCAACCGUAGUAAGCCUUUGAAACUGGGAAACUUGAGUGCAGGAGAGGAGAGUGGAAUUCCUAGUGUAGCGGUGAAAUGCGUAGAUAUUAGGAGGAACACCAGUUGCGAAGACGGCUCUCUGGACUGUAACUGACACUGAGGCACGAAAGCGUGGGGAGCAAACA
rnacentral:rRNA from 1 species